AACCUAGCACACCUGCGGUGUGUACCUGCGGAGGGAUCAUUAUAGAGUUUUCUAAACUCCCAAACCCAUGUGAACUUACCAUUGUUGCCUCGGCAGAACCUACCCGGUACCUACCCUGGAACGAGCUACCCUGUAGCUACCCAGGAACGGGCUACCCUGUAACGUCCUGCCGGUGGACUUCUAAACUCUUGUUAUUUAUAGUAAUCUGAGCGUCUUAUUUUAAUAAGUCAAAACUUUUAG
rnacentral:misc_RNA from 1 species